CCUUGACAUAGACUCUAACCAUGGAAUGGAACAGGGUUGUUCUCUUCCUCCUGUCAUUAACUGCAGGUGUCUAUUCCCAGGGUCAGCUGCAGCAGUCUGGAGCUGAGCUGGUGAAGCCUGGAGCUUCAGUGAAGCUGUCCUGCAAGACUUCUGGCUUCACCUUCAGCAGUAACUAUAUAAGUUGGUUGAAGCAGAAGCCUGGACAGAGUCUUGAGUGGAUUGCAUGGAUUCAUGCUGGAACUGGUGCUACUAACUACAAUCAGAAGUUCAAGGGCAAGGCCCAACUGACUGCAGACACAUCCUCCAGCACAGCCUACAUGCAACUCAGCAGCCUGACAUCUGAGGACUCUGCCAUCUAUUACUGUGCAAGACAACACAGUGAUAUAACCACUUCCUGA